UCUUCCAGAGGAGUCUCCAAAACUGCAGAGGAUGGACCUCCGGGGGGCGGAGAGGGGGGACGUUUAGAUCCAGCCCAUGAGGACCCAGAAAGGGGUGGAGGGUCCUUUAUCCAGAUUCUCCACAGCCAAAUACAUUGUAGCUGAGUUGCAACUCCCCCAGCAGGCAUGGCUGGGGACUCUGUCCUCGCCUGUGAGUGGGGAGCAGCCAGCCUGACUCUGGGGCUGGGGGAGAAGCUGCCGCUGCGUGGAAGGGAGAGUGUGUGUUGGUGGGUGGAAUGUGUUAUUUUUCAAGUGCACAGCCAGUUGUCACAUCAUCAUUUAUUGAAAAGGGUAUCCUUUCUCCACUGAUAGGAGUUGCUACUUUCAUCAUUAAUUAAAUUCCCUCAAAUAUAUGGUGCCAUCUCUGGUGUUCCAGUCCUGACCCUCACACCUCUUUGUCAAUUUCUGCGCACCAGUGGUGCUUGGUUAUGAUGGCUUUACGGCAAAUCCCUUCUCCACGUCCUUUUAAAAGCAUUUCUCAGCUGAGCUUGCACACUUUCUUCUCCAUAUAAAGUUUAGAAUCCAUUGCUUGUAGCCAGUCCUGUUGGGAAUUUUAUCAGAUUUGCACCGAGUAUGUGGGCACACUUGGGAAGCUAACGUCGAUGUGAUCUGGUCUGGCUCCCAGAAGUUCGCUGACCCCUCUUCUAAUGUAUGAAGUGCAAUGCUCGUUGGAGGCUAAGGAAUUUUCCUGCCAUUCUGAGCUUCCUGAAGGUCUGGUGGGUGUGCGUCAAACUCAGUACACCUGUCACCUUGAACACACAGCAGGCGUCACCUCCUUACGAAGUGCCACUCAUUGUUCGCUCCCUGUGGAAGGAGUGCUGGUGUGGUGGGGACCGUGUCUGCCUCGCCCCUGAUGCCUCCCCAGGGCCAGGUCAGAGGCCAGAAGCCCGCAGCAGAGGGCUCUGCAAACCCUCACGAGUGCGUGAACGCCAUGGUGCCAUCUUUGAUGCGACUGCAAACACUGACUUCCCUCACCCUACCGGCCUGUCUGACCCACAGGGCCUGGGGAUUCUGGCAGCCCCUCCUCCUGCGUGACUCGCCCUCCUGCCCCGGGCCUUCCCUGUCAAACCCCUCAGCUCAGUAAAUAAUGCUCCAAAGGUCUUGGCCUUUGAGAUGCCCU